rnacentral:rRNA from 1 species
UGAUCCAGCCAUGCCGCGUGCAGGAUGACUGCCCUAUGGGUUGUAAACUGCUUUUAUACGGGAAGAAACGCACCUACGUGUAGGUGUCUGACGGUACCGUAAGAAUAAGGACCGGCUAACUCCGUGCCAGCAGCCGCGGUAAUACGGAGGGUCCGAGCGUUAUCCGGAAUCAUUGGGUUUAAAGGGUCCGUAGGCGGGCCGUUAAGUCAGGGGUGAAAGUCUGCGGCUCAACCGUAGAAUUGCCUUUGAUACUGGCGGUCUUGAGUCGUUGUGGAGUUGCCGGAACAUGUGGUGUAGCGGUGAAAUGCAUAGAUAUCACAUAGAACACCGAUCGCGAAGGCAGGUGACUAACAACGUACUGACGCUGAUGGACGAAAGCGUGGGUAGCGAACGGGAUUAGAUACCCCGGUAGUCCACGCCGUAAACGAUGGAUACUAGCUGUCGGGCCUUCGGGCUCGGCGGCCAAGCGAAAGUGAUAAGUAUCCCACCUGGGGAGUACGUUCGCAAGAAUGAAACUCAAAGGAAUUGACGGGGGCCCGCACAAGCGGUGGAGCAUGUGGUUUAAUUCGAUGAUACGCGAGGAACCUUACCAGGGCUUAAAUGUAGUGGGACAGGCUUAGAGAUAGGCUUUUCUUCGGACUCAUUACAAGGUGCUGCAUGGUUGUCGUCAGCUCGUGCCGUGAGGUGUCAGGUUAAGUCCUAUAACGAGCGCAACCCCUACCGUUAGUUGCCAGCGAGUCAAGUCGGGGACUCUAACGGGACUGCCGGUGCAAACCGUGAGGAAGGUGGGGACGACGUCAAAUCAUCACGGCCCUUACGUCCUGGGCCACACACGUGCUACAAUGGCCGGUACAGAGGGAAGCCACCCCGCGAGGGGGAGCGGAUCUAUAAAACCGGUCACAGUUCGGAUCGGGGUCUGCAACUCGACCCCGUGAAGCUGGAAUCGCUAGUAAUCGGAUAUCAGCCAUGAUCCGGUGAAUACGUUCCCGGGCCUUGUACACACCGUCCGGUCAAGCCAUGAAGCCGGGAGUGCCUGAAGUCCGUCCACCGCAAGGAGCGGUCCUAA